CCUCCAACCAGGUGCGCAGGACGCGGGCGUGACAGACACAGAUAGGGUUGGGCAGGUCCUUCAAAACAUUAAACAUCUGUUUAAGCCCAUGCUAGAAAUCCACAAUGAGCCUCCCUAAAAGGGUCUCCCUCUGGACCAUGGUGGACGUGUUUGACUGGGUCAAGGAGAAGCACCCCUACCAAAAGAGUGUCCUCCAACUGGCCAUCGUGAAGCAUGACAUAUCCGGCCCGAACACUGCUGAUGAUGGGUGAGCACCAGUUGGAGAGGAUGGGGGUGAAGGGGGAGCAUCCUACGGGACAUUCUUCGCCUCAGGGUCCAGGAGAAACUGGAGAACAUCAACAUCUUCUCUGCUGAGGGAUUCUACAGUCUCCUCUUAAAGAGAUAGUUAGACAUUUAGGCAGUUAAGCAAUUUUGUAAUCUUACCCAGAGUCAAAUUAACUCAUGGAUAAGGGAGAGUGGGGUAAGUUGAGUCAAAAGGGUUAGUUGAGCAAUCCUUGUUUCUAGAAAACCAUUCACAAAAGUAAUAAUUUGACCAAAAUGUAGGAAGAGGUCAUCAUUUCAUGGAGUCUGAAGGAAGAAAUCACAUGGAAAAAAUGGUAAGCAAGUUAGGUCCAAAAAAUUGAUUUUCAACAAGUCAAAUGAAUUUAUUGUGUUAGAUGUUUCAUGAUGCUUGUAUCUAAACUAAAGUAGAUAAUUUUUAUUCUAUGCAUCAGUUGGGGUCUCUAUAAGCUUCAAUAUGAGGUCCUAAACCCAGCAUGAAAGUGCAUCCUUGUAGCUGUGUGGGAUUAUAGUCUAAAUGUUUUCCUUGGGGUACGUUGUGGCAAUGUUUGUGCCAAUGGCAAGUUUAGAAAAUGGAAGUGUUUUCUUCCCAGGCAUAAUAGAAGGCGUUAUCGCUGAGAUAUGAGGUACCAACAGGGCCUAGCCUAUAUUAAAAGUGCUUUUUUUUAAGUACAAAGGGUUUGGUAUUUGUUAAGCCUGUGUUAAAUGAUCCUUAAAAUUAUUAAAAGACAAAAAAAUGA